AAAAAAAAAUCCCCUAAAUUAAUAAAAAAAAUUUAGAAAAACACGCGCAACCCAUUCUUUAUCCUUUGAUGCGAGCUUUAUCCUUUAGCCUUUAGCGCGAACUCAUCAUUCACCCUUCAGCGCUUUCAUCCUUCAAAGAAAAAUUGACUGAGACCAAAGUCGAUAUCAUUCAACACAAACAUAGUAUACCAGCAGAGCAUAGAAGCGAAAGGAAGAGAAAAAGUGAGAGAGACAUCGAGAACGAAAACAGUUUCGGUGGGAGUAGUGGUCCUAACUUGGAAACUUCCAACACAGAGAGAUUGGUUUGGUUGAUGAAGUGCACCAUAGCUGUUGCUAAAUCAUUGCAGAAUCAUCCUCCUUCUCAACCUCUUUCUAAAGACACCUUCGUACCCGAGGUCGAAAGCUGCGAGAUCCAACGAGACUUUAUGCUCCCGGUCAGAUGUACCAUAUUGUGGAAAGAAAAUUUUAUAGGUAGUCACUUGCAAACAGUUUUAUUUUCAUACUUAAGUCCUAUGCUAUGACAAAUAUUUUGGGGAUAUACUUGUAAAUUAUGAUUAUUUGUUUUUCUUACUUGGUCUGGUGCAAAUUGUAGUAGCAUUUAUAAAACGUAGGCAAAGAUAUAUGACUUGUGUAACAAAAAAAUGACUGCCAUAAGUUGUGAUUAACUGUGGCUUAGGUAUGACAUAAACACUGUAGUGCUAAUAUGACGUGUUCAAUAUAAUUGAGUGAGAGUAUGAUUCAUGAAAUUUCUUAAACUGUGACUUGUUUAAUAUAAUUGACUUGUUCAACUCAUGUCUUUGUUGAACGGAACACCAUAUUUCAUUAAUUGUAGCUGUUAAGAUGUUGCCCUUUUUUUUUUCUUUUAUUCCUAUUCUUAUCCCUAUAUUCAAGGGAUCUUAAUUGUAAUCUUUUCAUUAUUAUAAAUACAUAAGGCUAGGGGUUAGCCUCAUAAGCAAUAUUUAUUUGA